UGGGUGGAUUAGUGGCGAACGGGUGAGUAACACGUGAGUAACCUGCCCUUAACUCUGGGAUAAGCCUGGGAAACUGGGUCUAAUACCGGAUAGGAGCGUCCACCGCAUGGUGGGUGUUGGAAAGAUUUAUCGGUUUUGGAUGGACUCGCGGCCUAUCAGCUUGUUGGUGAGGUAAUGGCUCACCAAGGCGACGACGGGUAGCCGGCCUGAGAGGGUGACCGGCCACACUGGGACUGAGACACGGCCCAGACUCCUACGGGAGGCAGCAGUGGGGAAUAUUGCACAAUGGGCGCAAGCCUGAUGCAGCGACGCCGCGUGAGGGAUGACGGCCUUCGGGUUGUAAACCUCUUUCAGUAGGGAAGAAGCGAAAGUGACGGUACCUGCAGAAGAAGCACCGGCUAACUACGUGCCAGCAGCCGCGGUAAUACGUAGGGUGCGAGCGUUAUCCGGAAUUAUUGGGCGUAAAGAGCUCGUAGGCGGUUUGUCGCGUCUGUCGUGAAAGUCCGGGGCUUAACCCCGGAUCUGCGGUGGGUACGGGCAGACUAGAGUGCAGUAGGGGAGACUGGAAUUCCUGGUGUAGCGGUGGAAUGCGCAGAUAUCAG
rnacentral:rRNA from 1 species